UGUGGGGCAGGCCAGCAGGCUGGAUGGAGACCCAGGGAAUAGUUGAUGUUGCCAUCUUGAGUCUGAAGGCACUCUGGAGGCAGAAUUCCUUCUCCUUCAGGGCACCUCGGUCUUUUCUUUUAAGGACUUCUACUGAUUGGAUGAGGCCCACCCAUAUUAUGGAGGGUAAUCUGCUUACUCAAAGUCUACUGAUUUAAAUGUUAAUCACAUCUAAAAUACACUUUCACAGCAAUAUCUACACUGGUGUUUGACCAAACAACUGGGUACCAUGGCCCAGCCAAGUUGACACAUAAAAUUAACCAUCAUACUCAGCAUAUUGGAACAUGGCCACUCAAACGUGAUUUAUGUCAACUGCAUGUCUCGUGAUUUUUGGAGACCUUCCCAAAUAAUAACGGUAACUUCAUUUUAAAGGAACUUCAUCAUUAUGGGUUCUGAUUGGAGCACGACUAUGACUACAUAAUGCUGUACGGAAUCCUUCUCUUCCCUGUUCCAUCUAGAAGGAGAGAGCUAGAGUAACAGGUGUGCAGGCUAAAUCAGUGUAUUCCUGUGUGAGUGUGGACUCUCCGUGAAGAUGACAGUACCAGUGCAGACUCCAGCAAUCAAGCAGGCUCGCCAUCAGUGACUUCUCAAGUGGUGAACUCAUAGCAGAGUUUUAAAUAAAACACAGUACAAUCUUU